rnacentral:misc_RNA from 1 species
GAAAUGCGAUAAUUAAUGUGAAUUGCAGAAUUCAGUGAAUCAUCGAGUCUUUGAACGCACAUUGCGCCCCCUGGUAUUCCGGGGGGCAUGCCUGUCCGAGCGUCAUUGCUGCCCUCAAGCACGGCUUGUGUGUUGGGCUUCCGUCCCUGGCAACGGGGACGGGCCCAAAAGGCAGUGGCGGCACCAUGUCUGGUCCUCGAGCGUAUGGGGCUUUGUCACCCGCUCCCGUAGGUCCAGCUGGCAGCUAGCCUCGCAACCAAUCUUUUUAACCAGGUUGACCUCUGAUCAGGUAGAGAUACCCGCUGAACUUAAGC